rnacentral:rRNA from 1 species
UGCAGUCGAGCGGACAGAUGGGAGCUUGCUCCCUGAUGUUAGCGGCGGACGGGUGAGUAACACGUGGGUCACCUGCCUGUAAGACUGGGAUAACUCCGGGAAACCGGGGCUAAUACCGGAUGGUUGUUUGAACCGCAUGGUUCAGACAUAAAAGGUGGCUUCGGCUACCACUUACAGAUGGACCCGCGGCGCAUUAGCUAGUUGGUGAGGUAACGGCUCACCAAGGCGACGAUGCGUAGCCGACCUGAGAGGGUGAUCGGCCACACUGGGACUGAGACACGGCCCAGACUCCUACGGGAGGCAGCAGUAGGGAAUCUUCCGCAAUGGACGAAAGUCUGACGGAGCAACGCCGCGUGAGUGAUGAAGGUUUUCGGAUCGUAAAGCUCUGUUGUUAGGGAAGAACAAGUGCCGUUCAAAUAGGGCGGCACCUUGACGGUACCUAACCAGAAAGCCACGGCUAACUACGUGCCAGCAGCCGCGGUAAUACGUAGGUGGCAAGCGUUGUCCGGAAUUAUUGGGCGUAAAGGGCUCGCAGGCGGUUUCUUAAGUCUGAUGUGAAAGCCCCCGGCUCAACCGGGGAGGGUCAUUGGAAACUGGGGAACUUGAGUGCAGAAGAGGAGAGUGGAAUUCCACGUGUAGCGGUGAAAUGCGUAGAGAUGUGGAGGAACACCAGUGGCGAAGGCGACUCUCUGGUCUGUAACUGACGCUGAGGAGCGAAAGCGUGGGGAGCGAACAGGAUUAGAUACCCUGGUAGUCCACGCCGUAAACGAUGAGUGCUAAGUGUUAGGGGGUUUCCGCCCCUUAGUGCUGCAGCUAACGCAUUAAGCACUCCGCCUGC